UAUCGGAUUGAUACUAAGCCAUGCGAGUCAUUGUAGCAAUACAAGGCAUACGGCUCAGUAACGCGUAGUCAACCUAACCUAUGGACGGGAAUAACCUCGGGAAACUGAGAAUAAUGCCCGAUAGAACAUUAUGCCUGGAAUGGUUUAGGUUCCAAAUGAUUUAUCGCCGUAGGAUGGGACUGCGGCCUAUCAGUUUGUUGGUGAGGUAAUGGCCCACCAAGACUAUUACAGGUACGGGCUCUGAGAGGAGUAGCCCGGAGAUGGGUACUGAGACACGGACCCAGGCCCUAUGGGGCGCAGCAGGCGAGAAAACUUUGCAAUGUGCGAAAGCACGACAAGGUUAAUCCGAGUGGUUUCUGCUAAAGGAACCUUUUGUCAGUCCUAGAAACACUGAUGAAUAAGGGGUGGGCAAGUUCUGGUGUCAGCCGCCGCGGUAAAACCAGCACCUCAAGUGGUCAGGAUGAUUAUUGGGCCUAAAGCAUCCGUAGCCGGCUCUGUAAGUUUUCGGUUAAAUCUGUACGCUCAACGUACAGGCUGCCGGGAAUACUGCAAAGCUAGGGAGUGGGAGAGGUAGACGGUACUCGGUAGGAAGGGGUAAAAUCCUUUGAUCUAUUGAUGACCACCUGUGGCGAAGGCGGUCUACCAGAACACGUCCGACGGUGAGGGAUGAAAGCUGGGGGAGCAAACCGGAUUAGAUACCCGGGUAGUCCCAGCUGUAAACCAUGCAAACUCAGUGAUGCAUUGGCUUGUGGCCAAUGCAGUGCUGCAGGGAAGCCGUUAAGUUUGCCGCCUGGGAAGUACGUACGCAAGUAUGAAACUUAAAGGAAUUGGCGGGGGAGCACCACAAGGGGUGAAGCCUGCGGUUCAAUUGGAGUC
rnacentral:rRNA from 1 species